UUCUGUAGCUGCAAAAAUACCUCUAGGUGUUCCGGACACUAUGUGCCUAUAGCUGGCUACAGGAUCACAGCAGCCAAAAGCCCUCCAGGAAGAAGUAUGGAAGCAGCUUUAUUGAGGUUGCCAGCAAGGAUUACGGCUUCUUUGACGCAUGAACGUUUUGGAAUUUAUGAGGAUUUUAAUGAGGAUUUUCUGAAAAAAAUAAAAAUUGUUAUGUUCUGGGCAUUCAUCUAUCCUCUCAUCAGCUUUUGAUCUACCACAUCUUGGUUGUUACCUUAGAAUUUUGCAACAUAAAUUUACAAUUAAUCCAAACCUGCUUUCAAAUAACACCAUAUCACCACGUAGGUUGACAAACUACAGCCAGUGGACCAAAUCCAGCCCCUGACUAUUUUUCUAAACUUUACCUCAGAUACUGCUGAUAUUUACUGAUACAAUUGGCUCUGGGUCGAACUUGAAGCUGCAGCAGAAGAAGAUAUGGAAAAACUAAAAUCUUCCUCAAGCAAAUAUUAGAGUAAUUGUCAUUAUCUCACCAUGCUCUUUUCCUGGUUAUAAAUAUGCUAGAAAACAUUCUUACUGUAAUUUUAAUAAAGUAUUUCUCUAUGUUUU
rnacentral:lncRNA from 1 species